rnacentral:rRNA from 1 species
CCUACGGGGUGCUGCAGUGGGGAAUAUUGCACAAUGGGGGAAACCCUGAUGCAGCGACGCCGCGUGAGUGAAGAAGUAUUUCGGUACGUAAAGCUCUAUCAGCAGGGAAGAAAAUGACGGUACCUGACUAAGAAGCCCCGGCUAACUACGUGCCAGCAGCCGCGGUAAUACGUAGGGGGCAAGCGUUAUCCGGAUUUACUGGGUGUAAAGGGAGCGUAGACGGCAGCGCAAGUCUGGAGUGAAAUCCCAUGGCUUAACCAUGGAACUGCUUUGGAAACUGUGCAGCUAGAGUGCAGGAGAGGUAAGCGGAAUUCGUAGUGUAGCGGUGAAAUGCGUAGAUAUUAGGAGGAACACCAGUGGCGAAGGCGGCUUACUGGACUGUAACUGACGUUGAGGCUCGAAAGCGUGGGGAGCAAACAGGAUUAGAUACCCCAGUAGUC